rnacentral:rRNA from 1 species
GUGUGAUUCAUGACUGGGGUGAAGUCGUAACAAGGUAACCCUAGGGGAACCUGGGGUUGGAUCACCUCCUUACCUUAA